rnacentral:rRNA from 1 species
GACGAACGCUGGCGGCCUGGGCGACGAUGAGGGCACAUGCAAGUCGAACGGAAUCAGCGCCGGUUCUUCGGAACCAAUGCUGAUUUAGUGGCGGACGGGUGAGUAACGCGUGAGUAACCUGCCUCUGAGAGGGGAAUAACGUUCUGAAAAGGACGCUAAUACCGCAUAACAUAUAACUGCCGCAUGACAGAUAUAUCAAAGAUUUAUCGCUCGGAGAUGGACUCGCGUCCGAUUAGUUAGUUGGUGAGGUAACGGCUCACCAAGACCGCGAUCGGUAGCCGGACUGAGAGGUUGAACGGCCACAUUGGGACUGAGACACGGCCCAGACUCCUACGGGAGGUUUUCAGUGGGGGAUAUUGCGCAAUGGGGGCAACCCUGACGCAGCAACGCCGCGUGAAGGAUGAAGGUUUUCGGAUCGUAAACUUCUUUUAUUAAGGACGAAGAAUGACGGUACUUAAUGAAUAAGCUCCGGCUAACUAC